GAACAAAACACUACUCUGCAAGUAACUCCAAAUAACGUUGAAACUGUUUGCUCCUCACAAUCAAUAUCUGACCUCAGGAAGAAUUAUCCUGAAGCACUUUCUAGAUUCUACCCAGAAGCUGCCAGAAAGGAUGGUGGAGACGCCAUACAUGUGUGUAUCGGGACCACACACACCUGCAGGAAUGACCUCUGCCCAGGCAGCAGCGUCCAGGGCUGUGGGGAGGCAGCACCAGCUGAGCUCCUCUCAGGCAACCUUCGGGGCACCCUCACAGCAUCCGCUCAACAUACUCAGAUCGUCAGCAUCUGGCAGGCAGGUAUGCACCUGGCCACGACAGCAUACAGAGGAGACUUGGACAUGUGAAAAUGGAGAGUGGACGUCAACAUGAAAUUAAACAAGAUCAAGAGUAAAAGGUGAGGAAGAGAAAGAGAAGCCCUCAGGAGCUCUUGGCUGCUGGAGAGGGAAGCACAACACAGGCUGGGUGUCGGAGAAGCGUUGGAAGCCGCAGCCGGCCUGGAGAUGAGGGCAGGAUGUGGAUGAGCUGUGCCCAUGGUGAAAGGGGGGACAGGCUGGAGGGGAAAGAGCAUUUGCAGAAGGCAGAGGCAGGAGCCACUGUGGCUGGGUAGAGAGCAGCCAGGAAGGGGCAGAGAAGCCCCCUCUUAAUGAGAGGCCCUUACGGUUUCUGACACAGAGCACUUCCGCGGAAAUGGUUUUAGGAAAAGGCACCUGAUAGCGUGGGGUGAGAGGGUCUGGAGAUGGGAGACGCCUGGCAGGGUCCUCUGGGAAGACAAGAAAGCAUGUGUCUCACUCUGUUGUCAUCUCCUCAUUUGCAUUGUCCCUCAAGAACUCCUGUGGAUGGAGUCUGGAGACAGAGCUUCCGGCUGAGGCCUCACAGCCCAGACAACCUCUGACUGUCCAGCAGCUGCAAAACGAUGGCGCCCACCAUGGGCACAGAGGAGCCAGGAGACAAACGCGGCCUCCUGAGUUCCCAGGGAAGAGGCAAGAGGGGGUAGUUGUGCGGGAGGCAGGAGCAGUUGGAACUGGGAGGUAUCCCUUUGGAGGGCGUGGGCUGGAGGUUUGAGAUAAUCACUUUUCACACAGGAGGGAUAGGCUGGACCCCAGGCGUGGCUCGCAGGGGGCUGUGUGGGGCCUGGCUUCCAGUUCCUGUCCACCCCAGGCUGGUGGGAGGUGAUCUUUGGGUGAUUAGAGGACUGGAUGCCCUUUUGCUCUGGCCUGGGUUUCCAUCCUUCUGAAAUAAAUUGUUUGCUUUACAGUGGAAGACAUACCCUGUUCCUUUAUUUUUCUAAAGCAAAUCCAAUCCACUCUGAGCCUCCAGUAGGCAAGAAGUCUGAGAUCAUCACACCAUGGGCUCCUUCAUCCCUGCCCUGAGUGGGAUGUGGGCCCUGGUGCUUCCUGCUGCCAGGAUCUGGGGUGGCCUGGACUUUUGUCCUUCUCUUUUAUGGGACCAGCAGCCCAGGGUGAGCCUCCACUGAACUUCCUCCUGCCACUGUAUCCCCCUCUGUCUCUCUCUCUCUCUCUAUCUCCCCCCUCUUCCCUCUCCACCUCCUUCCCUUCCCUUCUCCCCUCCCCUCCCCUCCCUUCCUCUGUCCUCCCCUCCCCUCUCCUCCCCUCCUCUUCCCUUCUCUUCUCUUCCCCCUUCCCUUCCCUCCCCUUCCCCCUCCCCUUCUGUCUGUCUCUCUUCCUCCCUCUCUCUGUCUUGCUGUUUCUCUAUGAGGGCUGCUGCAAAGUCCACUCAGUGAAGUCCGCUCCACAGAUCUCAGGCCAGAGACACCCCUCCAUACACAUACAGAGGGCCCAAGGCAGCCUCUCCACGUGUUAGACAGAAUAACAGCCACUAAAGUUGCCCACACUCUAAUCCCAGAAACCUGUAUAUAUGCUGUUACGUGGCAAUAGGGAGUUUGCAGACAGAAUUAAGGCUAUGAACUUUAAAAUAUGGACAUCAUCCUGGUUUAUCUGCUAGGCCCAUGGUGAUCCUGUAGGUCCUUGGAAAGGACGCCUGCAAUGGACUGAAUGGUGCCCUGUGAUGCAGGAAGGAAAAGGCCGGAGACAGUUGAUAUGACAGUCCCUGUCGUGCUCCACUGGCCUGUCCUUGCCCAGGGGUGACGAGCACUGAGACCCCUUCCCGGGAGUGGAGAGGAGAUCUCAGCAAGUGGUUGCCUCAGAGCAGUGGGCACAGGCACCUAGAAUGUUAGAGAGAAAGGGCACCAGGGUGGGCUGGAUGGCGGCCCCCAGGAGAUCUGUCCACAUCCUAAUCCCAGAAGCUGAGAACAUGACUUCACUUGGGAAAAUGGUAAUGCUAUUAAAUUAAGGAUCUUGAGAUGAUAUCAUCCUGAUUAUCUGGGUGUGAUCCCUAAAUCCAAUGGCACACAGAGAAGAUACACGUAAAAAAGAGAAAGCCAUGUGAGGACGGAGGCGAAGAUUUGAGCGGUGCAGCCACAAGCCAUGGAAUGCCUGGGGCCACCAGAGGCCGGAGGAGGCCGGAAGGACCCUCACCAGCACCUUCCAAGGGAGUAUGGCUCUGCCAAGACCUUCACCUUGUGUUUCUGGCCUCCAGAGCUGCACGGAAAACGAAUUUCUCUGGUUUAAAGCAACCCAGCUUGUGGUAAUUUGUUAUAGGAGCCCCAGGAGACUGAUAGAGGCACAAACAUGUGGCAUCAGAUUCCCUGGGACAGCUUUGAAAUGAAUAUUCUUGGCCCACUGUUAAAUUAGUAAAGUAAGGAUUCAUAAUUUCAUAUAUUUAUUUGUAGAGUUGAGGUCUCACCUUGUUGCCCAGGCUGAAGUGCAGUAGCAUAAUCAUGGCUCAUUGCAGCCUUGAACUCCUGGGCUCCAGUGAUCCUCCCACCUCAGCCUUCCUAGUAGCUAGGACUACAGAUACGCACCACCAUGCCUGGCUAAUUUUUUUGUUUGUUUUGUUUUAUUUGUAGAGGUGGGGUCUAGCUGUGUUGGCCAGGCUGGUCUGGAACUCCUGGCCUCAAGUGAUCCUCCCCGCUCGACCUCCCAAAGUGCUGGGAUUACAGACGUGAACCACUGUGACUGGCCUAGGACUCAUACUUUUUAAAAGCUCCCCAGAGGAUUCUUAUAUAGCCAUUUCAUGGGUCUGUGUUUGAGAAACAUUUUCUAGUUUAAUUUGCUUAUUUUGCAGACAGGAAAACAGAAUCUCACCCCGACCCCCAGCCCAUUAGGAGAGGAGGGCUCUGGCCUCAGGCCUAUCAAUAACUCCUAGCUGGGGGCUCAUUGGUGAGUGGUCAAGAAAUUGCCCAACAGCGUGGUUUCGAGGGGGCCAGCCUCACCUCUCCUGGUCUUGAGAUUUUAGCUGUCCUGAGAAAGCGAAGGCUUUUGACAAGAUGACCCCCCUCCCCUAUUUUCCUUGCUUUUCCUUGCAAUUUUCCCACAAGGAAGUUCCUGGGGGCCGCUCUUGUACCUUUGGAGCUGUGACCGGCUAAGUGUGAAUAUGGGACUGUGGGUGGACUUUGAGACGCCCUGUAGAGGGAGCUUGUGGUGGAGCAAGACAGGGUCCGGAGAGGAACGCAGAUCAGAAACCGUUUCCACACUGGGUCCAUCCACUGCUGAAGCUGGAGCCAACCUAUGCCUUAGAGGUUCCGAUUCCAUGGGGCAGCAGAGUUCUUCUUUGUGCUCAGGCUCACUCAACUUCUGCCUUCCCUUAAUUUAUGUGAUCUUCCUUAGCUGGGAUUCAGCCUGAAAGAUCCAUGAUGCAACUGUAUUUCCAGAGAGAUCUGGGGAGGACAGAGAGCAUCAUCCACUCCACCUUCUUCGUUAGAAUAACGUAAUAGGCUCACAAAAUCCUCAGAACAGCAAGGAGAGACUCAUGCAACUCGAAUGUCUCCACCUUGGCCCUGCUCUCCCUAAGGCAGAAGAAGGACCUCAGAUCCCUGGAUGGGAUCGGCCAUGGAGCCCUGAGAAGCUGUGUUACUGUUGGUGCUAUGAGUCCUCUGUCAAUAUUACUAAUAUCAUUUAGUUAAAUUAAAUCUACUCUUCAACUAUUUUGUAAGAAAUCAAUACUGGCAUGUGCAUCUCUCUUUGUCCCAUCUUAUUCUUUUUUGUUUGGUUGCAUUUUAAUGGUUCUGUAUAUUCAGAAAGGAAAUAAAAAAUGAAAGCUG
rnacentral:lncRNA from 10 species